rnacentral:rRNA from 1 species
GACGAACCGUACGAACGUUAUUCGGAAUCACUGGGCUUAAAGGGUGCGUAGGCGGCGCGACAAGUUGGGUGUGAAAUCCCACGGCUCAACCGUGGAACUGCUGGGUAUACUGGUUGUCUUGAGCCAGCUAGGGGCGAGCGGAACAGACGGUGGAGCGGUGAAAUGCGUAGAUAUCAUUUGGAACGCCAACGGAGAAAUCAGGCAGCUGGGGGUGUGCUGACGCUGAGACACGAAAGCCAGGGGAGCGAACGGG